CCUCUGUGAUGAAAAUUUCUUGUGUCGGAAACUUUCGAUCUGUGAUGGUUUACACAAUCCUCUAAGAAGUUCUGAGCAC
rnacentral:snoRNA from 1 species